UAUCUCUUCUUCACCCGACCUGUCUAAUUCCCCAUCUGGUGCGCGUCACCAGCUCUCUCCCGUCAUGUGCAGCCACUGAAUGGACCGAGAAAUCUUCUCAUUCUCUGCCUCCCCUCCCAUCCAGUCGCACGUCUACUGUCCCAGUUCUAGCAAGGAUAGUCGGGCCCGACCCUCACCUGCUGGAUUUGGGCAGGGAGGCCCCAGAUUUGUGUAGUCCACGCGUGGUUCGCGGAAGCCGUCACCAACUCUGCCCCUGAAACUAUCGCCGCCGGACGAGCUCACGAUUGAGUAAGAAAUCAUGCCCCGAGACCAGCCAUGAGCUCCUUGCCGCUGCCAACAUCAGAUCUAGAUCAACCAAGGGACCCAGCUCCUGAGGUCAAGCCGGGGAAAAAGUCUCGCUGUUGUGCCGCACGUUAUGCGAGCGGGAGGCUGGUCGCGCCCAAUAGCGUGCGGAGCAAGAGCCGGUACGUGUUGCUCGGAGAUCCGGCCGGAGGUGCUCUUACGCUCCUUUGAGGAUCUUGUGUUCGCUCUCAAGUCCGGCGACGGCAGUGCGGCCAAGUGGUGGUCUCAGGUGGUCAACAACCACUUCAUCUUCCACAUCAACUAGGACGUCCUUCAGUGCCCCGACGAUUCGUGCGACAAGCACCCGCAACAGCAGCUCAAUGCCCUGCAGUUUCGAAUUGAGUGCCCCUCCUCAUUGUUGCUCCGUGUAAAUCAAGCUGAAUCUGAAAGUGCUGCCUCUACCAACAUUCUUUUCCCUGACCUACCGUGUCUUGGAGAGGAUAUUUUCUCAUGUAAUAUCAUUUCGUGAUACUAUACUAUGAUCUGUAUUUGAUGUUUUUUUUUGCGAAA